GGGGGCGUAGCCUAGUAAGGUCCAAGGCGCCGGGCUCCAGACCCGGAGACCGUGGGUUCGAAUCCCACCGCCCCCA
rnacentral:tRNA from 1 species